CGGCACCGCCGCACCGGCGGGAGGAGAGCUUUGCAUCCUCCCGGGAGGUUUUUGCUGUAUUUUCUUAAAGUAAUCAAGAGUUUGUUGCUAGCGAAAAAAAAAUAAUUCUUCAGCCUCCGUUCUGCCAGGUCACUGGUGGCGGUGUCAGCGCUAGGAAUUCCCUUCCUGAUCCCGCCUGAGCUGCUGUGAGAGACUCUGCCGAGGGAAGUCGGGGACAGUACCUCAUUGUCUGUGAAGACAGUCUACAUUCUGCCACUACUUUGAUGAGCUGGUUACUGGGCCACUGCUGCUAAAGAUGUACUUCAGCUCCAGCUCCUACUGACAAUCAUACUGUGUCUCCAAUGAAAGACUGUGGUGAGAUUUGGUAACUGUACUGGAUGGGUAAACAGUGGCAUUUACUGAAAAAUGUGCAUUUGUUAGAAGGUUUCAACCCAUGCAGGUACAUUGAAAGUUGAAGGUAUUUCACUGGCAUGCUGGGGUUUUUUUUUCUUUCUCCAGUAACAGCAUUUAAUAUAUUGAAAUUAGCUUUGUUGAAGCAUGUUUAUUUAUUGAUGAUUUGGGGAUAUUUUUGCCUAGCAAAUAUCCAAAUCUUUUUUUGUGUGUGCAUACAUUGUGAAGCCAUACUUGCUGUAUUUUCAUAUUCAGGAGAUUGUGUUCUAUUAGUUUAAUUAAUUAGUACUUUUUGGUAGCAAACCAAUUUGAAUUGCUAGACAGAACCAACCAUGUUAAAAAAGCUCAUAAAUUACCUGUUGUGAUCCAUCAUCAUUUAUCUUUUUACUUAGAUCAAAGGAAGGGGGUUGCAGAUUGUCCCAGUCAGUGUGUUAGUGUGCAGAAGGAAGGAUUUAUUGUUAGAUGUCUCCAUCUGGGCACACAGCUUGGACUGGGAAGGAUGUCCUAGGGGAGCACUGGGCACUGAGCUCCUAAACCAGUAAUCAGCCCACAGUUUGAACAGUGACCCUCUCUGUGCAGAGGAUGGGGAUCCUCAAUAACCCCACAUGGAGGAGCCUGGCAAGCAGCCUGCUGAGCCAGUCUGUCCUCUGCCUCAGAAAAAGUGCCUUUCUUCACUGGGGACUCCUUGAACAAAACUCAUGGAAGUAAGUGCUGUGCUCAUUUUUAUUCUAAGUAUAGCAAGGGAUCAUGAUUGUAUAAUGCCACCAGAGGAAGAAGGUUCAUUCUCCAUAGCAAUAAGCUCAGGGUUCAGAACAGUCAUCUGUGAUGUGAUAGACAGGAUUUCAGUCCCCUCUCCUGUCUGAUGGGAAUUCAAAACUGCAUCUUCCAUCUUUAAGGAAAAUCUCUGCAUAGCCCAUUGGGUGUACCAGUCCCUGCUAUAAAAACCUUUUGUACCACUUGUAUAAAGACUGUUCAUUAUAAUAUCAAGAUGUACCUAAAUAAGCCUCAGAGGAGGGUUAGUGCUCUGUUCAGCAUAAUGCUUGCUUCUUUUCUCUGUGCUGGUUUUUCCAAAGGAGAAGUGGUAAAAUUGUCUGUCUUCUGAAAUGGCUUCUAUGUUAGUGAUGAGCAAAGAGUGGGGAAUGAAAGUUUGAACCUGUUUAUGUCAUUGAAUAAAAUUUAUUCAUCUGUAUCCUAGAUGAAUGCUUUGGUUACUAAGACUGCAAGGAAUUUGUGUUGCUUCUGCACUGGGUCUCAUGAAGUUGGUGUUUUUGUUGUAUUCUUUUUAGCUCAAAUCCAUCAGAGACGGUGAGAACCUGAAGAACAUAGGAAAUGUCCUGCUGGGCUUGAUAGGAGUCCUGUGGCCCAGGGCUUGGUCUGAGAUCUUGAUCUCUCAUAUUUCCACCUCCCCAGGCUCCUGGCUGUCCAGAGUGGCCUGUGUUAGGAGUGUUAGAGAGUACCCCUGCUCUCAGGGUCCUUUUUUGGAUCUCAUUUCUUUGGAACACACAAUACUGUCUGCCCUCACCACUCCCUAUGGCAGCACCUUGCAGAAAUCCUCUACCAAGCAUUUGACAAUUUUCUUGAAUUCAGACUGGGCCACAUGCUGCUUCAAUGAAACUCUGUCUGGCUUUGAUGAGCCACUGCCUGUGAGCCUGUGUGGGCAGAGAGGCAUGGGGGUCCUGGGGACACUGAUUUCAGCAGGUAAAGCACAGACAGACUCACUGUGAUGUGAUAGCAGCUGUGAGCUGGUGGCUGGGUUGCAAUGUAUCUCCUUGAAGUCUGAUUUCCAAAUCAGUCCUGGAUUUGGAAAGUCUGUGACUUUCUCCCUGCACCCUUUCCUCUCUCAAAGAGUGAUGCCAUGUUUCCAACUCUUCUUUCAGCAAAGGGACAAUUACAGACUCUAAACACAGCUGAUGAAUAAAUGUGUGGAUUUUUCUAGCAUAGACCAUCUUGUGAGGGAGAGAGGAGACGUAGCUGUAAUCAACACAUUGUGAAUUAGACCUUGCUCCCCAGUCUCAUGUGUCUGUCUCAUACUGCUCCAUGUGCUUAUGGGCAGCAGGAAACAGGAGGGAGAAUGUAAAUGAAAUAUUUGAUGAACUAUUCAUUUAUUUCAGACUGUAGCGGAAUCAGCAUGCAAAUGCCAUUCUGUGUUUUAUUUUUUUGCACUGACAGUGUAGCUACACAAAAAUAUUAUGAUCUUCUGCUGCCAACUGCUACUGAAUGAAUUAUUCUGAAGCAUUCUGAUGCCUGUCUUUGUCACAGUCUCCUAUUUCAGUCCCUGUCAUGCACUGUGCCUAUCAUUCAUUAUAGUUGAUGGGUUGAGGGCAGAAAGGUGUCUCUUGCCUUGUUCUCUGGAGAAUUUUGUCUUGUCUGUCUCACCUUCAAUCACUGCUAAUAGUUCUGCUAGAACAAAUUCAAGAAGGGGCUGUGAGGAGAUGAUGAAAAUAUUUCACAGAGCAGUUUUAUUUUAAUAGCUAGUUUUAAAAAUGAAUUUGCUGGAGCAGACCAAAAUGAAGAUUGCUUAGAGAUAUAUUUUUUUUACAAGCCUUUUAAUUAAUUUUUUAUUGUUAUUAAUCUUUAAGCCCUUUGCAUUCCUGUUACAUUUUUCCUGUGAAUUGCCAUGUAGGAUUGGGUUUACUGUGAUUGACCAACGACCAUUUAUUUUACAAAUUCAUUAGGAUGAGUUACUGUUCAGCAAAGACUGUGUUGGAGGAGAGAACAAAAUAGCACCACAGCUUUAGGAUGUGUUUUUGCAGGAGGCUUUCACAAAUUUUCAACUGCUGCUUCUACCUUGCUUUUUAAGCAAGGCUGUGGCUUUGUGGUUGUUUGUGGCAGGUCUCCUGUUACUGUUCUCAUGCCCUGCAAAAGUCGUAGUGGAGGAGUGAGACAGAGCUCACCAUUUUGGCAGGUGCUCAGUGGCACACAAGUGAGGGUGGAAUCGGUGGACUGUUCUGAAGGUUUUUAGGUUGUAUUUAUUAUUGUUUGCUUGCAGGACUUCCUGACCUCUCCGUUCCACUAGAAAGUCUAUCUGAAAAGAUUGAACCAAAAAUCUAGUCCAAGAAUUUAAGAAAUACCAUAAUGUGUAAAUGUUCAUAAUUAAUUCUUAAAUUGUGACAGUGCAAGAACUGGAUCAGAAGGAUGGUAUUAAAACCCUGGAGUGAGACUGUGAGAAACAGGCUCCAUACCUGGCUGCACUUUAGGCUGUCUUUGGCAAGUGUCAACCUGAGAUGCCUGUGGCUCAGUGCGAUUGUCUU
rnacentral:lncRNA from 1 species